UACGUAGGGGGCAAGCGUUGUCCGGAUUUAUUGGGCGUAAAGAGCGUGUAGGCGGCCAUACAGGUCAGCUGUGAAAACUCGAGGCUCAACCUCGAGACGUCGGUUGAAACCGUAUGGCUAGAGUCCGGAAGAGGAGAGUGGAAUUCCCGGUGUAGCGGUGAAAUGCGCAGAUAUCGGGAAGAACACCCGUGGCGAAGGCGGCUCUCUGGGACGGUACUGACGCUGAGACGCGUAAGCGUGGGGAGCGAACAGG
rnacentral:rRNA from 1 species